rnacentral:lncRNA from 1 species
CUCAUUCUAGGAAUCUCGUUCUAGCAAUUAGAUUCAAUAGGAAUUAAAUUACACAGAAUCAUAUUCAUUUCAAUUUUCUUAUUUGGAUGUACAAACAAACUAAUUCUUAGAAUUAGAUUUUAAAUAUUGUUUGGUUGAUUAGAAAUUCAAAUGGAACAACAUGCUACCAGCAUAGCUCUCUCUCUAACACAUGGAGUUGUCAGACAUUCAAAUGAAGUCUCCAUUGUUGUUAGAUAUUCAAAUCAGACAACAUGCUACAAUUCAAACAUUUAAAUGAAAUAUUCCAAGCUCC